CCCUUAGAUGUUCUGGGCCGCACGCGUGCUACACUGACCGGUGCAACAAGUUUCUUUCCUUGGCUCGAUAGGCCUGGGUAAUCUUUGAACACCGGUCGUGAUGGGGAUAGAUCCUUGCAAUUUUUGAUCUUCAACGAGGAAUUCCUAGUAAAUGCGAGUCAUCAUCUCGCGUUGAUUACGUCCCUGCCCUUUGUACACACCGCCCGUCGCACCUACCGAUUGAAUGGUCCGGUGAAAUCUCGGGACGGCGGCUUGGUCGCUUGCGUCCGACUGCUGAAACUUGAUUAAACCAUAUCAUUUAGAGGAAGGUGAAGUCGUAACA
rnacentral:rRNA from 1 species